AUUGAACGCUGGCGGCAGGCCUAACACAUGCAAGUCGAGCGCGCGGCGGACGGGUGUGUCAUGUCUGGGAAACUCCUUUAUGGCGGGGGUUACCUACUGGAAACGGUAGCUAUUACCGCAUACCUUCAGCUGUUCCCAGAUGGGAUUAGCUAGUAGGUGGGGUAAUGGCUCACCUAGGCGACGAUCCCUAGCUGGUCUGAGAGGAUGACCAGCCACACUGGAACUGAGACACGGUCCAGACUCCUACGGGAGGCAGCAGUAGGGAAUAUUGCACAAUGGGCGCAAGCCUGAUGCAGCCACGCCGCGUGAGUGAAGAAGGCCUUCGGGUUGUAAAGCACUGUCAGCGGGGAGGCGUUACUCGAAGAGGAAGCACCGGCUAACUCCGUGCCAGCAGCCGCGGUAAUAC
rnacentral:rRNA from 1 species